UUAAUUUAUAUUUUUAUAUAUAAAUAAAUAAUUAUAUAUAAUAUAUAUUUUUAUUAUUUUAUUUUUAGCAAAAUAAAAAUAUAAAUGCGAGCUUAAUUAUAAAAAGAUUCAUUUAUAUGUAAAGUUUCAACUAUUAAAUCAAAGUCUAAUGAAUAAGAUUUGAUAAAUUUAUUUUUUAUAUAUAUUUAACCUAAUCAUUUUUAAUUUAUUGUUCGUUGGCUAGCUCGUGAGCUAGCUCAUAUUCGGCUCGUUAAUAAACGAGUCGAACACGAGCUGAAUUUUUUGACUCGAUACUUUAACGAGCGAGCUCGUAUUCG
rnacentral:lncRNA from 1 species